GACGAACGCUGGCGGCGUGCUUAACACAUGCAAGUCGAACGGAAAGGCCCUGCUUUUGUGGGGUGCUCGAGUGGCGAACGGGUGAGUAACACGUGAGUAACCUGCCCUUGACUUUGGGAUAACUUCAGGAAACUGGGGCUAAUACCGGAUAGGAGCUCCUGCUGCAUGGUGGGGGUUGGAAAGUUUCGGCGGUUGGGGAUGGACUCGCGGCUUAUCAGCUUGUUGGUGGGGUAGUGGCUUACCAAGGCUUUGACGGGUAGCCGGCCUGAGAGGGUGACCGGCCACAUUGGGACUGAGAUACGGCCAAGACUCCUCCGGGAGGAAGCAGUGGGGAAUAUUGCACAAUGGGCGGAAGCCUGAUGCAGCAACGCCGCGUGCGGGAUAACGGCCUUCGGGUUGUAAACCGCUUUCGCCUGUGACGAAGCGUGAGUGACGGUAAUGGGUAAAGAAGCACCGGCUAACUACGUG
rnacentral:rRNA from 1 species